UGGGGGAUAUUGCACAAUGGGCGCAAGCCUGAUGCAGCCAUGCCGAGUGUGUGAAGAAGGCCUUCGGGUAGUAAAGCACUUUCAGCGGGGAGGAAGGCGUUAAGGUUAAUAACCUUGGCGAUUGACGUUACCCGCAGAAGAAGCACCGGCUAACUCCGUGCCAGCAGCCGCGGGAAUACGGAGGGUGCAAGCGUUAAUCGGAAUUACUGGGCGUAAAGCGCACGCAGGCGGUCUGUCAAGUCGGAUGUGAAAUCCCCGGGCUCAACCUGGGAACUGCCUUCGCAACUGGCAGGCUAGUGUCUUGUAGAGUGGGGUAGAAUUCCAGGUGUAGCGGUGAAAUGCGUAGAGAUCUGGAGGAAUACCGGUGGCUAAGGCGGCCCCCUGGACAAAGACUGACGCUCAGGUGCGAAAGCGUGGGGAGCAAACAGG
rnacentral:rRNA from 1 species